rnacentral:misc_RNA from 1 species
CCGAGUUUGACUGCCAGAAGUUCGGCCGGCCGGAUAAGCUCUACCUCAAGUACAAGUGGAAGCCGAGCACUUGCGAGCUCCCAAGGUUUGAUGGAGGCGAUUUUCUGUCAAGGUGGAGGGGGAAAAAGAUUAUGUUUGUUGGGGACUCUAUCAGCUACAACCAGUGGCAGUCUCUCAACUGCAUGCUCCAUGCGACUGUGCCCAACGCCAAGACAUCCUUCGUCAAGGGGGACCCACUGUCUACUGUCAUUUUUGAGGACUACGGAGUAUCAGUGUCAUUUUACCGCUCAACCUACCUAGUCGACAUCGUUAGUGAGCCCAUGGGAAGGGUUCUAAAGCUCGACUCGAUCGAGUCAGGCAGUGCAUGGCUAGGAGCUGACAUGCUCAUCUUCAACACAUGGCACUGGUGGACUCACACAGGAAGAAGCCAACCAUGGGACUACGUGGAAGACGGCGGCCAGGUUCUGAGAGACAUGAAUCGCUUGAUCGCCUUCUCAAAAGCGCUCACGACAUGGGCCAAAUGGGUCGAUUCCAACAUAAACUCUGCCACUACAAAAGUCUACUUCCAAGGAAUAUCUCCUACACAUUACCAGGGAGCCGAAUGGGGGCAACCAAAGGCGACUUGCUCUAAACAGACACAACCAGUGAGUGGAUCCAUGUAUCUUGGUGGUACACUUCCAGGACAAGCGAUAGUUAACCAGGUGUUGAGUACCAUAUCGAAACCGGUAUACCUGCUCGACAUUACCUUGCUUUCGCAGUUAAGGAAAGAUGGUCAUCCAUCGGCGUACAGCGGAGGUCAUCCGGACAUGGACUGCAGCCACUGGUGUCUCGCUGGUGUUCCAGAUACCUGGAACCGGAUCCUGUAUGCAUCCCUGCUCUGAUGCAAGGGGAAUGGACCAUUAUAUCAUACAAAG